rnacentral:rRNA from 1 species
GAUGAACGCUCGCUACAGGCUUAACACAUGCGAGUCGCGGGGCAGCAUGGGGGUUGCUUGCAAUCCCCGAUGGCGACCGGCGCACGGGUGAGUAACGCGUAUCCAACCUGCCCUUCACCACGGGAUAACCCGGCGAAAGUCGGACUAAUACCGUAUGUUGUCCAUUGACGGCAUCCGAUUUGGACGAAAGGUUUGGCGGUGAAGGAUGGGGAUGCGUCCGAUUAGCUGGACGGCGGGGUGACGGCCCACCGUGGCGACGAUCGGUAGGGGUUCUGAGAGGAAGGUCCCCCACACUGGAACUGAGACACGGUCCAGACUCCUACGGGAGGCAGCAGUGAGGAAUAUUGGUCAAUGGGCGUAAGCCUGAACCAGCCAAGUAGCGUGCAGGAUGACGGCCCUAUGGGUUGUAAACUGCUUUUAUGCGGGGAUAAAGUGGCCCACGUGUGGGUUUUUGCAGGUACCGCAUGAAUAAGGACCGGCUAAUUCCGUG